GGGCUUGACAUCCCACGAACCUGCCUGAAAGGGCAGGGUGCCCGCAAGGGAGCGUGGAGACAGGUGGUGCAUGGCUGUCGUCAGCUCGUGUCGUGAGAUGUUGGGUUAAGUCCCGCAACGAGCGCAACCCUCACCCCUAGUUGCCACCGGGUAAAGCCGAGCACUCGAGGGGAACUGCCCCGGUCAACGGGGAGGAAGGCGGGGAUGACGUCAAGUCAUCAUGCCCCUUACGUCCUGGGCUACACACGUGCUACAAUGGCCGGUACAAAGGGAUGCCACACCGCGAGGUAGAGCUAAACCCAAAAAGCCGGUCUAAGUUCAGAUUGGAGUCUGCAACUCGACUCCAUGAAGGAGGAAUCGCUAGUAAUCGCGUAUCAGCACGACGCGGUGAAUACGUUCCCGGGCCUUGUACACACCGCCCGUCACACCACGAAAGCCAGCUGUACUCGAAGUCGCUGAG
rnacentral:rRNA from 1 species